AUGAGGCAAACACAAUUUUUUUCAGAUUUUCAUGCCAGUCCUACUGGGGCCCAUUAUGGGCAAACAAAAACAAGAGAAGCCAUUUCAAAGCGGUUCUACUGGCCAGGGAUGUCAGUGGACAUCAAUAAUUGGGUUUCCCAAUGUGCACUUUGCCAGGCAAGUGCUGCAACAAUUAAAAAACCAGCGGAAUACAUUCCGAUAAAGGUCUCUCAGCCAUUUGAACUGGUUGGGAUGGACCUUAUUGGAAAACUUACUGAAACCAACAAUGGACAUCAAUACAUAUGUGUUUUUAUUGAUUAUUUUACAAAAUGGCCACAAGCAUACCCUUUAAAGUCAAAAUCA